rnacentral:rRNA from 1 species
GACUCCUACGGGAGGCAGCAGUGAGGAAUAUUGGUCAAUGGGUGCAAGCCUGAACCAGCCAUACCCGCGUGAAGGACGACUGCCCUAUGGGUUGUAAACUUUCUUUUGUAUAGGGAUAAACCUACCCUCGUGAGGGUAGCGAAGGUACUAUACGAAUAAGCACGGC